GUAAGAUAUAUUACAAUGUUUUAAUCGCAAUAUUUGACUUUCAGAAAUGAUAAACAUAGAUUUCUACUAUUAUUAAAGUUUUAUAAACUAUGGAAAGUUUAAAGCAUAUGUGCACAUAAAGUUAACCAAGUUAGUAUGUGAAAUGAAAUAAGUGGCAUGUUUUAAAAGAUAGAGGGGUUAAAAUGGAAAUAUGCUAUAAAUAAACACUUGACAAAAAUUAGUCAGUGUUUGGUCUGGGCGUGCGAUCGAGAGAAGGAACCAAGGGAACCAAAACCCUAAACAACCUAAAAUCAUCAAAUUGAAAGGGGAAUCGAGGGCUGAUCGAAUGCAUGAGUCUAGAUACCCUUUAAUCUAAGUGUAUUGAUCAUAAGGAACGUGUCAAGGAGAGCUCAAGCAUAGGAGGAUAACGGGUCAAGAUAAGGCAAGGUGACAAAUACACUUAUUGGAAUACUCAAGGAAGAAACGUGACGCAAAACGGACGAAAAAUGAGAGAGUUAUGUCCGUUUCAGUAAGGAUUAAUGGCUAGGAAAAGUGCAGAGUUGACACGGCCGGGUGGUGAACUGACACGGCCGGGUGAAGGUUCUAUCAAAAAUAUUAUUUAUGUGAUUUAUGCGCCGUAGGCUUCGGUAUAUUAUCCGUGAACUACGACGGGCCUCCCAAACAUGAUUUCGAGUGUUUCCUUGACGAUUAUAAGUUGUAAACCCAAGUCUAAGCCUCAUGUAAUUUAUAUAAGAGUGUGAUAGAUGUAUGUAAUGAAGUUGGACAUGUAUUACAUGUAAAUGUAUACAAAAAUACGUACGGAACAAGUAGGUAUGAAUACAUGAUUGUAGGUAUGAUUAAAUGUAUAUUAGGUAUGUAGAUGUGUAUGAUUGUAAGUUUGUAUGUGUGCAAGUAUGUGCAAAUGCAUGAUUUGGAUGCAUUUGAGAAUUAGCGUUACUAAUAAUGCCCUUGGGUUUGGAAUAUAAGUUGAUUGGAUGCAUUUAAAUGGUUAACAUCCUUUUUAUGAAGAUGUAGUAAAUGAAUAUGUUGAGAUUACGGGUUUGGCUAACCAAGUUAUUAUUGAGUAUGUUUGAAAGUGCAGGUUAUGAAUGUCGGACUUUCGAAGUGUUGAUAUAAUAAUGAAACGGUUGAAUGUUGAAAGGAUAAUCGGAUUGAAGUAACUUAUGCGGUUAGAAUAUGCUAUGGACGUUUUAGUUUAUACAAUAUUAUAUGUUUGGUCGUCACCAUCUACUAACAGGCCAAGAGCACGCGGGUUAUGUGAAGGGUAAUCGCAAUUUUUCGGAAGGAAUGAUCCGUGAAUGCGGUCUAGGACCGGCAUCAAGGCAAGUAAUAAGACGAAUUGACCCCUGGUGAGCUUGAUGAAUGGACACGCAAUGUUACUAAUCAGAAAGGAAGGAUCAUCGUAAGGAACGUGUCAAGGAGAGCUCAAGCAUAGGAGGAUAACGGGUCAAGAUAAGGCAAGGUGACAAAUACACUUAUUGGAAUACUCAAGGAAGAAACGUGACGCAAAACGGACGAAAAAUGAGAGAGUUAUGUCCGUUUCAGUAAGGAUUAAUGGCUAGGAAAAGUGCAGAGUUGACACGGCCGGGUGGUGAACUGACACGGCCGGGUGAAGGUUCUAUCAAAAAUAUUAUUUAUGUGAUUUAUGCGCCGUAGGCUUCGGUAUAUUAUCCGUGAACUACGACGGGCCUCCCAAACAUGAUUUCGAGUGUUUCCUUGACGAUUAUAAGUUGUAAACCCAAGUCUAAGCCUCAUGUAAUUUAUAUAAGAGUGUGAUAGAUGUAUGUAAUGAAGUUGGACAUGUAUUACAUGUAAAUGUAUACAAAAAUACGUACGGAACAAGUAGGUAUGAAUACAUGAUUGUAGGUAUGAUUAAAUGUAUAUUAGGUAUGUAGAUGUGUAUGAUUGUAAGUUUGUAUGUGUGCAAGUAUGUGCAAAUGCAUGAUUUGGAUGCAUUUGAGAAUUAGCGUUACUAAUAAUGCCCUUGGGUUUGGAAUAUAAGUUGAUUGGAUGCAUUUAAAUGGUUAACAUCCUUUUUAUGAAGAUGUAGUAAAUGAAUAUGUUGAGAUUACGGGUUUGGCUAACCAAGUUAUUAUUGAGUAUGUUUGAAAGUGCAGGUUAUGAAUGUCGGACUUUCGAAGUGUUGAUAUAAUAAUGAAACGGUUGAAUGUUGAAAGGAUAAUCGGAUUGAAGUAACUUAUGCGGUUAGAAUAUGCUAUGGACGUUUUAGUUUAUACAAUAUUAUAUGUUUGGUCGUCACCAUCUACUAACAGGUAAAUCCUCAAUUUUGGCGACUUGGAGAAUCGGAGCGAGCGCGUGUUCGUGUUAUGCGAUACCAAACGCUUCCGCUAGCUUGUUCAAAUGUUUUUGAUCCAAAAUUUGUUGUAUUGGUUUUUAGUAGUAUCUUGUUGAACGAAUUGUAGAAUUGUAUCUAGUUUGUUUAUGUUUAAAACAGGGGUAUGCUCGUUUUAUGGACGGGUCAUGCCCGAUUUUUUGUUAAAUUAUAGUUUGAUAAUAUCACAUUUAGGAAGGUGAAA